GAGUUUGAUCAUGGCUCAGAUUGAACGCUGGCGGCAGGCCUAACACAUGCAAGUCGAACGGUAACAGGAAGCAGCUUGCUGCUUCGCUGACGAGUGGCGGACGGGUGAGUAAUGUCUGGGAAGCUGCCUGAUGGAGGGGGAUAACUACUGGAAACGGUAGCUAAUACCGCAUAAUGUCGCAAGACCAAAGAGGGGGACCUUCGGGCCUCUUGCCAUCGGAUGUGCCCAGAUGGGAUCAGCUUGUUGGUGGGGUAACGGCUCACCAAGGCGACGAUCCCUAGCUGGUCUGAGAGGAUGACCAGCCACACUGGAACUGAGACACGGUCCAGACUCCUACGGGAGGCAGCAGUGGGGAAUAUUGCACAAUGGGCGCAAGCCUGAUGCAGCCAUGCCGCGUGUAUGAAGAAGGCCUUCGGGUUGUAAAGUACUUUCAGCGGGGAGGAAGGGAGUAAAGUUAAUACCUUUGCUCAUUGACGUUACCCGCAGAAGAAGCACCGGCUAACUCCGUGCCAGCAGCCGCGGUAAUACGGAGGGUGCAAGCGUUAAUCGGAAUUACUGGGCGUAAAGCGCACGCAGGCGGUUUGUUAAGUCAGAUGUGAAAUCCCCGGGCUCAACCUGGGAACUGCAUCUGAUACUGGCAAGCUUGAGUCUCGUAGAGGGGGGUAGAAUUCCAGGUGUAGCGGUGAAAUGCGUAGAGAUCUGGAGGAAUACCGGUGGCGAAGGCGGCCCCCUGGACGAAGACUGACGCUCAGGUGCGAAAGCGUGGGGAGCAAACAGGAUUAGAUACCCUGGUAGUCCACGCCGUAAACGAUGUCGACUUGGAGGUUGUGCCCUUGAGGCGUGGCUUCCGGAGCUAACGCGUUAAGUCGACCGCCUGGGGAGUACGCCGCAAGGUUAAAACUCAAAUGAAUUGACGGGGGCCCGCACAAGCGGUGGAGCAUGUGGUUUAAUUCGAUGCAACGCGAAGAACCUUACCUGGUCUUGACAUCCACGGAAGUUUUCAGAGAUGAGAAUGUGCCUUCGGGAACCGUGAGACAGGUGCUGCAUGGCUGUCGUCAGCUCGUGUUGUGAAAUGUUGGGUUAAGUCCCGCAACGAGCGCAACCCUUAUCCUUUGUUGCCAGCGGUCCGGCCGGGAACUCAAAGGAGACUGCCAGUGAUAAACUGGAGGAAGGUGGGGAUGACGUCAAGUCAUCAUGGCCCUUACGACCAGGGCUACACACGUGCUACAAUGGCGCAUACAAAGAGAAGCGACCUCGCGAGAGCAAGCGGACCUCAUAAAGUGCGUCGUAGUCCGGAUUGGAGUCUGCAACUCGACUCCAUGAAGUCGGAAUCGCUAGUAAUCGUGGAUCAGAAUGCCACGGUGAAUACGUUCCCGGGCCUUGUACACACCGCCCGUCACACCAUGGGAGUGGGUUGCAAAAGAAGUAGGUAGCUUAACCUUCGGGAGGGCGCUUACCACUUUGUGAUUCAUGACUGGGGUGAAGUCGGAACAAGGUA
rnacentral:rRNA from 1 species